rnacentral:ribozyme from 17 species
CAAAAUCGAAAAAGGUAAGAGAAAUGGGACGGGAUAGGGGGAAAGUUGUUUGUGGGAUUGUCUUGUAAAUUUGUUUUUACUGCGAAUUCUUCAGUUAACUUUGUUUUGUUUUUGAUUUUUUUUUCUCUGAAAUUG